AUGUUUUUUACAUGCGUGUGCCAUAUUACUAUGUAAAUGUAUAAAAACUAUGUAAAUGUAUUAUAGACAUUAUCGAUACAAUUACACAAGCUUUUUCAAUUUGUUUCACUCAGGUUUUCAAAAUUGCGAAGAUUUCUCACUCGGCACUAACUUUUCCACUGUAACUACCCCCUGUACAAUUACGCCUACCUUAUUUCAUUGGAGAACUCCUUUUGGUUGCGGCGUCGGUCGCUGAGCUUACACAGCAGGAGCCAGAGGAGGAGUAGAAGCAGGGUGAUGAGCAGGAUGGAGCCCACCACAGAGCCCACAAUCACCCCAGCUCGGCUCGGCGCUGAAGGAACAACUGCUUGUUACAUAAUCUUCACCACCAUCCCACCUAACGUAUUUACCGAAACCUUGCACAUUAUUAGGGGGAAUAGGUCUAUCAAUAGUCAGGAUUUACGAGUUAUGAACUUCUGAAGUAAAUAAGUUGCCUAUAUUCUUAAUAGGCAAUUCUUAAUAAUUUGAGCAACUUUUUGACGAUUACUGAAGUCACUUUCAGCAAAGGAAUCUGAAGGCCUACUUUUCUAGUUCGACUUUCAGUACUUUGUACGUCACCAGGCUUUCUCAUUGGUCGACAACCCCACCGGGCCUUCACAUUGGUCGAGCUCAAAUUCCCCUUGUAGCUCGAGCGAGCUCAUUAGCUUAAAAGUUUGCGGGGCAGGAAACGUUUUCAUCAGACAGCAAGCCGCGACGUUUCGGUGGAUGGUGCACUGCUCCUCCCCCACGUCGUUGGAGGCCGUGCAGCGGUAGAACCCCGCCAGGCUCAGCGAAUAGUUUCGGAUCAACAGCUGUCCGGUCACACCGUCUGAAGAUAAGCUCUCUCUGUCUGUUGACAUGACCUGGAGAUUGGAGGUUUGGAGUACAUGAUCUCAAACUGAAACCUGGGCCGUACCCCUGAGAAAAGGGCAGUCUUCACAAGAGGUCGUCCUCAGACGAGCCCUCCAUCGUUGCUUCCAGUCAUCCCGAUUCUCCAUACAUCUGGCCAGUUCUUUGUGUACCAACUGUGGGCAGCUUCAUGAAGUAUAUCGCUGGACAACAUUCAAGCCAUGAAGCAGGAUAAUGGAAGCCAUUCAUCAAAACUGAACUUCUGCUAAGCAGUCUUUCUGGUUUUACUGCUGCCUGAUUCUACGUGGAGAUAUUCCCGGGUCGAAGGGCCCCUUGUGUACUAGCACGCACUCAGUCUCACCAUGAGUCUUCAAGAGUGUUGACAUGUAUUCACCCAACAGCUGCAUCUCUCCUCCACCCUCCUCCUGCCAGAGCCACCCUUUAGCAGGGACUCUACUGCUAGGAUAAAAGACUCAGUCCAGUCGUCAUGCUUCCUUAAUGUUUGUCUUGCGGUAUGUGAUGGUGAUGUAUGAGUUCAGCUUUGCAUCGCUUUUUGCAUCUUACCUGACAUGUGUAAUGAAACAAAUAGGUCUAGUGCUGCAGGAGCAUCUAGAGAAUGUAGGCCAACGCAGUCAUGCCCCAGCUUCAUGAAGGGAUUUGAGAAACGUUUACAUUGUGUGCUCCUUAAGGAUUAGGAGGUAGAAAUUGAGGAUAAAAGCAGUUUAUCACAACUCCAUAUUGAACACUAUAUUGUACCGUAAAAUUGUAAAUAUAUCAAACAAUUCUUUGCCAAAACAGCUUUAUGGACACACAUUUGGGAUCUCUUAUUAUAUUCAAUUUAUUAUAUUUAUC